UGAAAACCUUUUACAAGAUAUAUUGGUAUUCGUCGGAUCAUUCAGAAAUAUGAAAUGAAAUAACAUGAAGGUAAAAAGAAAUUAUGGACACAUAUUGUCAUGGGAAGCCAUAGAGCAUCCAAUGGAGCAAGCAAAUGCGAUGCCAGAGGGAAAGAAAUUUGAAAAAUAUAAAUAAAGGAAGAGAAAUAUAAAUAGAGACUUAGUUAAAUUGGAGACGCUUUAAGUAUCAUAACUAGGAUUAUGAUGACUCAAAAAUAUAUUGUUGAGUAAAGUA